rnacentral:rRNA from 2 species
UACGGAGGGUGCGAGCGUUGUCCGGAAUCACUGGGCGUAAAGGGCGCGUAGGCGGUGGGGUAAGCGUGUGGUGAAAGUCCGGGGCUCAACCCCGGAUCGGCCGUGCGAACUGCUUCACUUGAGCACUGUAGAGGCAGGUGGAAUUCCGGGUGUAGCGGUGGAAUGCGUAGAGAUCCGGAAGAACACCGGUGGCGAAGGCGGCCUGCUGGGCAGUGGCUGACGCUGAGGCGCGACAGCGUGGGGAGCAAAC